AUUGAACGCUGGCGGCAGGCUUAACACAUGCAAGUCGAGCGGGGGAAGGUAGCUUGCUACCGGACCUAGCGGCGGACGGGUGAGUAAUGCUUAGGAAUCUGCCUAUUAGUGGGGGACAGCAUCUCGAAAGGGAUGCUAAUACCGCAUACGUCCUACGAGAGAAAGCAGGAGAUCUUCGGACCUUGCGCUACUGCACGAGCCUAAGUCGGAUUAGCUAGUUGGUGGGGUAAAGGCCUACCAAGGCGACGAUCUGUAGCGGGUCUGAGAGGAUGAUCCGCCACACUGGGACUGAGACACGGCCCAGACUCCUACGGAAGGCAGCAGUGGGGAAUAUUGGACAAUGGGGGGAACCCUGAUCCAGCCAUGCCGCGUGUGUGAAGGAGGCCUUAUGGUUGUAAAGCACUUUAAGCGAGGAGGAGGCUACUCUAGUUAAUACCUAGGGAUAGUGGACGUUACUCGCAGAAUAAGCACCGGCUAACUCUGUGCCAGCAGCCGCCGUAA
rnacentral:rRNA from 1 species